rnacentral:ncRNA from 1 species
AGAAUUGGCAAGGAAAUAAGACCUUGUUGAGCUUGACUUGGUAAAAAGACAUAAGGGAUACAGAUAAGUGGGAGCUUCGGCGCCAAUGAGAAACCACUGCUCUUAUUGUUCUUUAACCAUAGUAUGGGAUUAGGCUUUACAGUAAAUGCUGUGAAGCCCCCAUUGGUUGGGAAAUGGCUAAACAACCAUAAGCCAGAGCUGAUGCUGGAAACCAUACUAUAUGUGUUGCUCAUACACUAUAUGAGUAUAAAUAUGCUUUUGAGCUGAAAAGCAUAUUGUGUCUUUGCUCGUAUUCGCUGAAAGGCGAGUACAUUCAGAGCUACAUAGUAAUGCUAGUAUGGAGUAGUGAUGAAUUGCAUGCAGUUUGCAUGCAACUGACGGGGUAUUGUAAGUAGUCGAGUGACCUUUGUUGCUACGAUAUACUGAGAUUAAGCCCUUGUCCUUGAAUUU